UGCAGUCUGAUGGCUUCUGCGAAACUCACUGGCUUUCCUUCUGCAAUUUCUCUUCAAUUUCUUGGAAGGACUGAACUCACCACUGAAGCAGAAAAUAUCUAUUAUAAGUAGAAGUGGAACUAUCGAUGACUCCUACAAAGUGGUUCAACAUAGCUAACAUCUGGGUACGGGGGGAGAAAUGUAGGUUUUAUUCAAUGCGGCUUUCCCCAUGUUCCAAACGGACAUACUGGAGAAGAUGGCAAUACGGUUGAGAAAGCUACCAGUAUUUUCACCAGGACACCAAAGCCUAUCUCCGGAGGACUCAUUCAAAUGUUUUCAUCUGCUCCAAUAAAUCCAGGCAAAAAUACAGGAUCUAGUCCACAGCACGAUGAUAAACCGGGAAGCAAGAAGGGUACAGGAAAACCAGCCAAAGAUAGCUAGAAUAUUUAGCAUAGAUGUAUGCAUAGAGUAGAGUAUAAGUGCACUUGGUGAUAGUUAUAAUGAAGGUUGUGUUGGUUUUCUCUAGCUCUGCUUAAGGAUCACAUGCUUGUCAAACUGCUUUAAGUCUUACAAAGAUAUCAUAAGUCAAUGUUCUGGUAAAGCGCAGAAUGAUGUGUCUUGAUUGUUCUGCCACAUAUUUAGCAAGCCUUGUGAUUAUAAAUAAAUGUUGAAUUACAUUCGUAGAUGCACCUUGUUAUUUAAAACGAUAUUGUAAGAUAUAUAACUAUUGCAUUUAA